UACAGAGGUCUCAAGCGUUGUUCGGAUUCAUUGGGCGUAAAGGGUGCGUAGGCGGCGCGGUAAGUCGGGUGUGAAAUCUUGGAGCUUAACUCCGAAACUGCAUUCGAUACUGCCGUGCUUGAGGACUGGAGAGGAGACUGGAAUUUACGGUGUAGCGGUGAAAUGCGUAGAUAUCGUAAGGAAGACCAGUGGCGAAGGCGGGUCUCUGGACAGUUCCUGACGCUGAGGCACGAAGGCCAGGGGAGCAAACGGGGAU
rnacentral:rRNA from 1 species